UCAAAGUGACAGCCUGAGGUGUUCUUCAGUAAAUUGGACUACCGGACAGGAGGACCUGAGGCCCCACCGCAUUAUUUUUGGAUGCAGCAGCAGACUGAACCUCGACUGAAACCUGCUCCAUCAUCUCAUCUUUGCAGAUGUCCAUUUAUAAAGCAUCAACAACUCAAAGGAGCUGUCCUCAGAUUCAGACCUCAGCACCACCCAGU